rnacentral:rRNA from 1 species
AUUGAACGCUGGCGGCAUGCCUUACACAUGCAAGUCGAACGGCAGCACGGGGCAACCUGGUGGCGAGUGGCGAACGGGUGAGUAAUGCAUCGGAACGUACCUUUCAGUGGGGGAUAACGUAGCGAAAGUUACGCUAAUACCGCAUAUUCUGUGAGCAGGAAAGCAGGGGAUCGCAAGACCUUGCGCUGAUUGAGCGGCCGAUGUCAGAUUGGCUAGUUGGUGAGGUAAAGGCUCACCAAGGCGACGAUCUGUAGCGGGUCUGAGGAGAUGAACGGCCACACUGGAACUGGGCCGCGGGCCAGACUCGUACGGGAGGCAGCAGUGGGGAAUUUGGGACAAUGGGGGCAACACUGAUCCAGCCAUGCCGCGUGAGUGAAGAAGGCCUUCGGGUCGUAAAGCUCUUUCGGCCGGGAAGAAAUCGCACGGGCUAAUACCCUGUGUGGAUGACGGUACCGGAAUAAGAAGCACCGGCUAACUACGUGCCAGCCGCCGCAGUAACAC